rnacentral:tRNA from 2 species
CGGGGGUAAGAGGGGGAAUUCACUCGCAGUUGACCGCAGUUGCUCACAAUACAGUGCAGUCUACAACUUGCUUUAUGACUACGAUCUUUAGUGUCCAACACAAAUAGAGAGGUGCUUUGGGAGCACUAGGUCGCAGGUUCGAAUCCUGUCGCCCCGA